rnacentral:rRNA from 1 species
AGAGUUUGAUCAUGGCUCAGGAUGAACGCUGACAGAAUGCUUAACACAUGCAAGUCAACUUGAACUUCGGUUUGGGUGGCGGACGGGUGAGUAACGCGUAAAGAACUUGCCUCACAGUUAGGGACAACAUUUGGAAACGAAUGCUAAUACCUGAUAUUAUGAUUUUAGGGCAUCCUAAGAUUAUGAAAGCUAUAUGCGCUGUGAGAGAGCUUUGCGUCCCAUUAGCUAGUUGGAGAGGUAACGGCUCACCAAGGCGAUGAUGGGUAGCCGGCCUGAGAGGGUGAACGGCCACAAGGGGACUGAGACACGGCCCUUACUCCUACGGGAGGCAGCAGUGGGGAAUAUUGGACAAUGGACCAAGAGUCUGAUCCAGCAAUUCUGUGUGCACGAUGAAGUUUUUCGGAAUGUAAAGUGCUUUCAGUUGGGAAGAAAAAAAUGACGGUACCAACAGAAGAAGUGACGGCUAAAUACGUGCCAGCAGCCGCGGUAAUACGUAUGUCACAAGCGUUAUCCGGAUUUAUUGGGCGUAAAGCGCGUCUAGGUGGUUAUGUAAGUCUGAUGUGAAAAUGCAGGGCUCAACUCUGUAUUGCGUUGGAAACUGUGUAACUAGAGUACUGGAGAGGUAAGCGGAACUACAAGUGUAGAGGUGAAAUUCGUAGAUAUUUGUAGGAAUGCCGAUGGGGAAGCCAGCUUACUGGACAGAUACUGACGCUAAAGCGCGAAAGCGUGGGUAGCAAACAGGAUUAGAUACCCCGGUAGUCCAA